rnacentral:rRNA from 1 species
UGUACACACCGCCCGUCGCUACUACCGAUUGAAUGGCUCAGUGAGGCGUUCGGACUGGCUCGGGGAGGUUGGCAACGACCACCCCAAGCCGGAAAGUUCGUCAAACUCGGUCAUUUAGAGGAAGUAAAAGUCGUAACAAGGUCUCCGUAGGUGAACCUGCGGAGGGAUCAUUACACAAUACAAUAUGAAGGCCCGUAACACGGCUGGAUUAUUUUAUUACCCUUGUCUUUUGCGCACUUGUUGUUUCCUGGGCGGGUUUCGCCCGCCACCAGGACCACACCAUAAACCUUUUUUAUGCAGUUGCAAUCAGCGUCAGUACAACAAAUGUAAAUCAUUUACAACUUUCAACAACGGAUCUCUUGGUUCUGGCAUCGAUGAAGAACGCAGCGAAAUGCGAUACGUAGUGUGAAUUGCAGAAUUCAGUGAAUCAUCGAAUCUUUGAACGCACAUUGCGCCCUUUGGUAUUCCAAAGGGCAUGCCUGUUCGAGCGUCAUUUGUACCCUCAAGCUUUGCUUGGUGUUGGGCGUUUUUUUGUCUUUGGUUAUGCCAAAGACUCGCCUUAAAACGAUUGGCAGCCGGCCUCCUGGUUUCGCAGCGCAGCACAUUUUUGCGCUUGCAAUCAGCAAUAGAGGGCGGCACUCCAUCAAGACACUUUUUUUCACGUUUGACCUCGGAUCAGGUAGGGAUACCCGCUGAACUUAAGCAUAUCAAUAAGCGGAGGAAAAGAAACCAACAGGGAUUGCCCUAGUAACGGCGAGUGAAGCGGCAACAGCUCAAAUUUGAAAUCUGGCUCUUUUAGAGUCCGAGUUGUAAUUUGCAGAGGGCGCUUUGGCUUUGGCAGCGGUCCAAGUUCCUUGGAACAGGACGUCACAGAGGGUGAGAAUCCCGUACGUGGUCGCUAGCUAUUGCCGUGUAAAGCCCCUUCGACGAGUCGAGUUGUUUGGGAAUGCAGCUCUAAAUGGGAGGUAAAUUUCUUCUAAAGCUAAAUAUUGGCCAGAGACCGAUAGCGCACAAGUAGAGUGAUCGAAAGAUGAAAAGCACUUUGGAAA